AAAAAUAUCACAAGUUCUAGAAGAAAAAGAAGUCUAAGGAUAAACAUGGAGAGAAGGAUUCCAAACUUCACGAUUUGUGUUUCUGUGUGCUCCACUUUGACAAUGCCAAUCCCAAGCGUAAAACAAGAAGAAAAAGGAGAAGAAAAAGAAGAAAAAAGAGAAACAGCAGGAAAGUGAAAGGCUCCUUGGAACACUUAGAUCCUCGUUUCCAGAAGAUAACGCGGGAGAAGAAGGAAGAAUCCCAUCCUCCAGAUGGCUCUUCAUGUGAGCAAUGCAGAAGUGAGAGCAGUAAACAACCUUACAAGGAAGGGAAGCCUUCCAGUGCAGGCGAAAGCAAGAAAUACAGCUCCGUCUCAUCCAACGAGUGUAUUAAAGAUGCAAACAUGGAUCUUGAGUUGAGGGCAAAGGUGACCUUGGAUCUGAAGCACACAGGCGUUCGCUAAUGUCCCCCCAUCCGGAGUGGAUCCACAACGACUCGGAAGAAAACUAAAGUCCAAAGCAGUGCACUGGGAUAAAGAGAGUUUAAUAGGGUAGAAAAGGAAUAAAACCAAACAAAAUUAGAAAUGAGAAUAUUGAUAAUUUAUAAUGUAUAAAAUAUGUAAAUAUUGUUUAAUUAAUAAUAGUAAAUACUUAUCAUUUUCUAAUAAUGAAACAAUGCCAUACUGUACAACACAGUCAAUAAAGUGGAUUUCAUGAAAUAAAUAAUACAA